UACGUAGGGGGCAAGCGUUAUCCGGAUUUACUGGGUGUAAAGGGAGCGUAGGCGGCUGUGUAAGCCAGAAGUGAAAGCCCGAGGCUCAACCACGGGACUGCUUUUGGAGCUACAUGGCUUGAUUGCAGGAGAGGCAAGUGGAAUUCCUAGUGUAGCGGUGAAAUGCGUAGAUAUUAGGAGGAACACCAGUGGCGAAGGCGGCUUGCUGGACUGUAAAUGACGCUGAGGCUCGAAAGCGUGGGGAGCAAACAGG
rnacentral:rRNA from 1 species